rnacentral:siRNA from 1 species
AUCAACUGUUCAUUAAGUAGA